GGUUUGGUAUUGAGUGAUACUCUUAGUUGAACUAGGCGUUUGCUUGAAAUGUAUUGGCAUGAGUGGUACUGGAUAGUGCUAUAUGACUUUCAAUGUAUUAGGUUUAUCCAACUCGUUGAAUAGUUUAAUGGUAUAUUUCUCGGUAUUCUAGGCUCGGCCUUACAAUAUAACAAACAAGUUUGACCUCAAAUCAGGUAGGAUUACCCGCUGAACUUAAGCAUAUCAAUAAGCGGAGGAAAAGAAACCAACAGGGAUUGCCUUAGUAACGGCGAGUGAAGCGGCAAAAGCUCAAAUUUGAAAUCUGGCACCUUCGGUGUCCGAGUUGUAAUUUGAAGAAGGUAACUUUGGAGUUGGCUCUUGUCUAUGUUCCUUGGAACAGGACGUCACAGAGGGUGAGAAUCCCGUGCGAUGAGAUGCCCAAUUCUAUGUAAAGUGCUUUCGAAGAGUCGAGUUGUUUGGGAAUGCAGCUCUAAGUGGGUGGUAAAUUCCAUCUAAAGCUAAAUAUUGGCGAGAGACCGAUAGCGAACAAGUACAGUGAUGGAAAGAUGAAAAGAACUUUGAAAAGAGAGUGAAAAAGUACGUGAAAUUGUUGAAAGGGAAGGGCUUGAGAUCAGACUUGGUAUUUUGCGAUCCUUUCCUUCUUGGUUGGGUUCCUCGCAGCUUACUGGGCCAGCAUCGGUUUGGAUGGUAGGAUAAUGACUAAGGAAUGUGGCUCUACUUCGGUGGAGUGUUAUAGCCUUGGUUGAUACCUGCUCUGUCUAGA
rnacentral:rRNA from 1 species